CACUCACGGAGGGCGGUGCCAGUCCGCGUGCCCCCUCCGCGCCUGGGGGUCAGUCACAAACGAACGUCUCAGAGAUGGCGCGAGAAUGCGAAACGCAGAGAUUUGAGGCGCUCACCCAGAGACCCUCUGGUGUCCAAUUUUAUAG
ensembl:ncRNA C02B4.9 ncRNA